AUACGAAGGGGGCUAGCGUUGUUCGGAAUUACUGGGCGUAAAGCGCGCGUAGGCGGACUGAUCAGUUGGGGGUGAAAUCCCAGGGCUUAACCCUGGAACUGCCUCCAAUACUGUCAGUCUUGAGUUCGGGAGAGGUGAGUGGAAUUCCUAGUGUAGAGGUGAAAUUCGUAGAUAUUAGGAAGAACACCAGUGGCGAAGGCGGCUCACUGGCCCGAUACUGACGCUGAGGCGCGAAAGCGUGGGGAGCAAACAGGAUUAGAAACCCGAGUAGUCC
rnacentral:rRNA from 1 species